rnacentral:rRNA from 1 species
AUUGAACGCUGGCGGCAUGCCUUACACAUGCAAGUCGAACGGUAACAGGUCUUCGGAUGCUGACGAGUGGCGAACGGGUGAGUAAUACAUCGGAACGUGCCUAGUAGUGGGGGAUAACUACUCGAAAGAGUGGCUAAUACCGCAUGAGAUCUACGGAUGAAAGCAGGGGAUCGCAAGACCUUGUGCUACUAGAGCGGCCGAUGGCAGAUUAGGCAGUUGGUGGGAUAAAAGCUUACUAAGCCGACGAUCUGUAGCUGGUCGGAGAGGACAAUCGGCCACACUGGGACUGAGAAACGGCCCAGACGCCUACGGGAGGCAGCAGUGGGGAAUGUUGGACAAUGGGCGCAAGCCUGAUCCAGCAAUGCCGCGUGCAGGAUGAAGGCCUUCGGGUUGUAAACUGCUUUUGUACGGAACGAAAAGCCCCGGGUUAAUACCCUGGGGUCAUGACGGUACCGUAAGAAUAAGCACCGGCUAACUACGUGCCAGCCGCCGCAGUAA